rnacentral:rRNA from 1 species
GUCCUUGCUGUAAACGAUGUAUACUUGAUGUAGUUGGACUCAACCCCGACUGUGUCGAAGCGAACGCGAUAAGUAUACCGCCUGGGAAGUACACUCGCAAGGGUGGAAACUCAAAAGAAAUUGACGGGGACCCCGCACAAGCAGUGGAGCAUGUGGUUUAAUUCGAUGCAACGCGAAGAACCUUACCUGGGUUCGAAGUGUAUAUGACGUCGUAAGAGAUUACGAUUUCCCGCAAGGGACAUAUAUAUAGGUGCUGCAUGGCUGUCGU